UACGGAGGGUGCAAGCGUUAUCCGGAUUCACUGGGUUUAAAGGGUGCGUAGGUGAAAUGGUAAGUCAGUGGUGAAAUCUCCAAGCUUAACUUGGAAACUGCCGUUGAUACUAUCAUUCUUGAAUAUCGUGGAGGUGAGCGGAAUAUGUCAUGUAGCGGUGAAAUGCUUAGAUAUGACAUAGAACACCGAUUGCGAAGGCAGCUCACUCCGCGAUUAUUGACACUGAGGCACGAAAGCGUGGGGGUCAAACAGG
rnacentral:rRNA from 1 species